rnacentral:rRNA from 1 species
CCUACGGGUGGCAGCAGUGGGGAAUAUUGGUCAAUGGGCGCAAGCCUGAACCAGCAACGCCGCGUGAAGGACGACGGCCUUAUGGGUUUUAACCUCUUUUGUUAGGGAAGAAAAGUGUAGAAUGUAUACUGCUUUUCAUUUCCGUUAUGUACAUGGAUCGGCCAACUCCGUGCCGGAAGCCGCGGUGAUACGGAGGAUCUGUGCGUUAUCCGGAUUUAUUGGGUUUAAAGGGAGGGUAGGCGGGUUGUUACGUCAGUUGUGAAGGUGUUCGGCUCAACCGGAAAAUUGCAGUUGAUACUGGCAUCCUUGAGUGCAGGAGAGGGAGGAGGAAUGCGUGGUGUAGCGGUGAAAUGCUUAGAUAUCACGAAGAACACCGAUUGCGAAGGCAGCUUGCUGGACUGUAACUGACGCUGAGGCUCGAAAGCGUGGGUAGCAAACAGGAUUAGAUACCCCAGUAGUC